rnacentral:rRNA from 1 species
GACGAACGCUGGCGGCGUGCUUAACACAUGCAAGUCGAACGAAGUGGCGAACGGGUGAGUAACGCGUAAUAAACCUGCCCUUCAAGGGGGAACAACAGUUGGAAACGACUCCUAAUACGGCAUACUGAUGGGGGGGUUUGCGUCUGAAUAGCUCGUUGGAGGGGCAACGGCUCACCAAGGCGAUGAUCAGGAGCGUGUCUGAGAGGAUGAUCAGCCACACUGGGACUGAGACACGGCCCAGACUCCUACGGGAGGCAGCAGUGGGGAAUAUUGCACAAUGGGCGCAAGCCUGAUGCAGCCACGCCGCGUGUAUGAAGAAGGCCCUAGGGUUGUAAAGUACUUUCAGUCGGGAGCGUUACCGACAGAAGAAGCACCGGCUAACUCCGUGCCAGCAGCCGCGGUAAUAC